UACGAAGGGGGCUAGCGUUGCUCGGAAUCACUGGGCGUAAAGCGCACGUAGGCGGAUCGUUAAGUCGGAGGUGAAAUCCUGGAGCUCAACUCCAGAACUGCCUUCGAUACUGGCGAUCUUGGAGUCCGGGAGAGGUGAGUGGAACUCCGAGUGUAGAGGUGAAAUUCGUAGAUAUUCGGAAGAACACCAGUGGCGAAGGCGGCUCACUGGCCCGGUACUGACGCUGAGGUGCGAAAGCUAGGGGAGCAAACGGG
rnacentral:rRNA from 1 species